UUUGUUUUUCUUUGUCCAAGUUGUUUCGAAACUUGUUAACAAUCAUUUGUUAUCAAACCAUGCACCAUCAGCAUUUUCGAAAAAUCUUCAACGAGAGAAAUUUUUAAGGAUUUUAUUGGUAACUUAACAGAGUAAUAAUUCAUUGAAAUUGAAAUUGUUCAGAAGUUAUUAUAUAUAUUCGAAUCGUGAAAUUCAUACAUAGCAAUCCUGCAUCCUGGAAUUUUCGAGAUCAGUUAUAAAAAAAUCCAGUUAAAGUUUUAACUAUUGUUUUAGAAUAUAUACUAUAUAUAUGUAAAAAAAAAAUUAUUUUUUAUUUAUCAAGUUGUAUUUUACGUUAAUUACAAUAAUAAUUGAGAAUUAGGAUA